GGGUUAGUCGGUCCCUAAGGCGAGGCUGAAAAGCGUAGUCGAUGGAAAACAGGUUAAUAUUCCUGUACUUCUGGUUAUUGCGAUGGAGGGACGGAGAAGGCUAGGCCAGCUUGGCGUUGGUUGUCCAAGUUUAAGGUGGUAGGCUGAGAUCUUAGGUAAAUCCGGGAUCUUAAGGCCGAGAGCUGAUGACGAGUUAACUUUUAGUUAACGAAGUGGUUGAUGCCAUGCUUCCAAGAAAAGCUUCUAAGCUUCAGGUAACCAGGAACCGUACCCCAAACCGACACAGGUGGUUAGGUAGAGAAUACCAAGGCGCUUGAGAGAACUCGGGUGAAGGAACUAGGCAAAAUGGUGCCGUAACUUCGGGAGAAGGCACGCUGGUGUGUAGGUGAAGCCCCUGCGGGUGGAGCUGAGACCAGUCGAAGAUACCAGCUGGCUGCAACUGUUUAUUAAAAACACAGCACUGUGCAAACACGAAAGUGGACGUAUACGGUGUGACGCCUGCCCGGUGCCGGAAGGUUAA
rnacentral:rRNA from 1 species